rnacentral:rRNA from 1 species
UACAGAGGGGGCAAGCGUUAUUCGGAAUUAUUGGGCGUAAAGGGCGCGUAGGCGGCUUGGCAAGUGGAUGGUGAAAUCCCUCGGCUUAACCGAGGAACUGCCGUCCAAACUGCUUCGCUUGAGACCGAGAGAGGUGAGUGGAAUUCCCAGUGUAGCGGUGAAAUGCGUAGAUAUUGGGAGGAACACCAGUGGCGAAGGCGGCUCACUGGACCGGUACUGACGCUGAGUGCGAAAGCGUGGGGAGCAG